UGGGGAAGUAUUGGGCAAUGGGCGCAAGCCUGACCCAGCAACGCCGCGUGAAGGAAGAAGGCUUUCGGGUUGUAAACUUCUUUUCUCAGGGACGAAGCAAGUGACGGUACCUGAGGAAUAAGCCACGGCUAACUACGUGCCAGCAGCCGCGGUAAUACGUAGGUGGCAAGCGUUAUCCGGAUUUACUGGGUGUAAAGGGCGUGUAGGCGGGGAAGCAAGUCAGAUGUGAAAACCACGGGCUCAACCUGUGGCCUGCAUUUGAAACUGUUUUCUUGAGUACUGGAGAGGCAGACGGAAUUCCUAGUGUAGCGGUGAAAUGCGUAGAUAUUAGGAGGAACACCAGUGGCGAAGGCGGUCUGCUGGACAGCAACUGACGCUGAGGCGCGAAAGCGUGGGGAGCAAACAGGAUUAGAUACC
rnacentral:rRNA from 1 species